GACGAACGCUGGCGGCGUGCUUAACACAUGCAAGUCGAACGGUAAGGCCCUUCGGGGUACACGAGUGGCGAACGGGUGAGUAACACGUGGGUGAUCUGCCCUGCACUUCGGGAUAUGCCUGGGAAACUGGGUCUAAUACCGGAUAGGACCACUGCCUGCAUGGGUGGUGGUGGAAAGCUUUUGCGGUGUGGGAUGGGCCCGCGGCCUAUCAGCUUGUUGGUGGGGUGAUGGCCUACCAAGGCGACGACGGGUAGCCGGCCUGAGAGGGUGACCGGCCACACUGGGACUGAGAUACGGCCCAGACUCCUACGGGAGGCAGCAGUGGGGAAUAUUGCACAAUGGGCGCAAGCCUGAUGCAGCGACGCCGCGUGAGGGAUGACGGCCUUCGGGUUGUAAACCUCUUUCAGCACCGACGAAGCGCGAGUGACGGUAGGUGCAGAAGAAGGACCGGCCAACUACGUGCCAGCCGCCGCGGUAA
rnacentral:rRNA from 1 species